ensembl:snRNA U1 U1 spliceosomal RNA
GUAUUUAUCUAGCAGGGGAGAUAUUAUGAUCACGAAGGUGGUUUUUUUUUGUUUUUUUUUUUUUUUUUUUAAGGCGAGGCUUUUUCGUUGCACUUUGCGUGUGUGUAUUGAUCCUUGUGAUUUCCGCAAAUGUGGGAAACUUGACUGCGUAAUUUGUGGUAGGGGCGACUGCGUUCGCGCUUUCUUCUG